AAAUUGAAGAGUUUGAUCAUGGCUCAGAUUGAACGCUGGCGGCAGGCCUAACACAUGCAAGUCGAACGGUAACAGGAAGCAGCUUGCUGCUUCGCUGACGAGUGGCGGACGGGUGAGUAAUGUCUGGGAAACUGCCUGAUGGAGGGGGAUAACUACUGGAAACGGUAGCUAAUACCGCAUAACGUCGCAAGACCAAAGAGGGGGACCUUCGGGCCUCUUGCCAUCGGAUGUGCCCAGAUGGGAUUAGCUAGUAGGUGGGGUAACGGCUCACCUAGGCGACGAUCCCUAGCUGGUCUGAGAGGAUGACCAGCCACACUGGAACUGAGA
rnacentral:rRNA from 1 species